rnacentral:lncRNA from 1 species
AUUCAACGGAGAGUGGCGAUGAGACCAGUGCUUUCACCCCAGUGCCUCUGACAACCAAGUGAGAGAGACUGCUACUGAACACACCUUUUAUUAUGAAAUUACUUCUGAGCAUUGUGGAGAUCACAUAGAUUCCUAGAAGUUACAAGAUGCAAUUUCAUUCAGGCUGGAAACACAGCUACCUGAUACUGGCACUGGAGAAGAGGCCCUUCUCGGUGUGCUUCAGACUUGACUCAGCAACUGGCGUGCGCUGCCCACCUGCUGGCACAGUAAUAUACUCAUGGAAAAGAAGAUUCCAGGCUCACUCCCUCUCUCAGAGCAGCUCCUGAGAAGAUUGGAUUGUGUGUAGUCAGGUGCAUAUAGGACUAAUGCCCUGCCUAUUCUUCACAUAUCCUAAGAUAUUGUACUUUAGUUCUUUCAAAGGAAUUUGUGUAUCUAGGAAGUUUAAAAUGUACUUGGUAAGAUAGUGCCUGUUUUCUAGUAAUGAGCUUGGUUAAUGCAAUUGUCUGAUGACACAUUUAGGCUUUCUAAUUGAGUUUUUGUACUGAUGUGUCUUGAAGAGGGUUUACUUGGUGUGUGUAUAUUUUGGACUCUAAUUUUAGUGAAUUACAUGGUAAGGAGGAACAGAAGAACUGGUACCUGCUGGCAAAUUCUUAAGGAGGGGAGCUACUCAGUGAUAGAACCAACCAGAUCACCUCUGAAUGCAUGAUUCUGAACAUCUAGAUGCCUGUUGUUUUGUUGUGUUUAUUUUAAUUUAAUACAACUUUUUGUGGGUUCGUUAAAAGUCUUCUCAAAAGUAACACUGAGAAAGCCACUACAACAUACAUAAAAAAAAAAGUGUGCUUUAGGCCAAAAUAAAAUUGUUACUUGGACUUGUAAAAUAAAAGCU